CGAAAAAAGAAAAAAAAUUAAAAGUUUUUGCAUCCGAACCACAACACAACAGCGGGAAGAACCGUCAGGAAAGCCCAGCCGAGGUUACGGAACACAGCAAGCUCAUCAGGGUUCCAGGCUAGCAGCUUCAAAGAUGAUGCGUGUGCCUACACCUACUGUCGCUCCCGGUUGGCGUUCUUCGCGUAGGUAUUGGUCGUCGGGGAACCACGAAGAGCAGACCGACCACGGCCUUCCCUAUGACAGCCGGAGGAUUAGCGUUCAUAAUUACGCAGCUACCGUCAUAUGGCUGCUGACUGUUGUGAGGGCUCCUACGUCGGCCCGUAAUGUGCUUGGUCUGGCUCAGAAUCAGGCCGUAAGUACUAGUUCCCUGAAGCAACCGGCUCUACCGAUUGUGCAACAUUUACUAAUUGUGAAAAAUUUAAAUAAAAAUCUUUUUUAAAUGCGAUA